GUAACGACGGUAAAGGAAACGGGCCAUUGUUAGCUGUGUGCUAGGUGAAAACGAGUUACAGACAAUGAGACACAACAAGACGACGUUGAAACCAGUACAACGACUUGGAUGGGGGAUGGAAAGAGAAGGCAC